CGGGUGAGUAACGCGUGGGUAACCUGCCUUGUACAGGGGGAUAACAGUUGGAAACGGCUGCUAAUACCGCAUAAGCGCACAGCAUCGCAUGAUGCAGUGUGAAAAACUCCGGUGGUAUAAGAUGGACCCGCGUCUGAUUAGCCAGUUGGCGGGGUAACGGCCCACCAAAGCGACGAUCAGUAGCCGGCCUGAGAGGGUGAACGGCCACAUUGGGACUGAGACACGGCCCAA
rnacentral:rRNA from 1 species